ensembl:lncRNA
ACCCAAAUUCAUAUGUGUGCACACUGCUUCUCUCCCAGGUGUGUUUUUGCCAUCUGGAUACACAAGGCUUGCUCACUGGUGGCCAGUGGACAUGCAGACAUGACCAAGAAAUGAGUGUUCCUCUGCUGCUCACAGCAAUUGCAAUUCCUUGUUUUGGCCUUCUGAUUUCAAGAGCCAGGGGUGUGUGGGUCAUAGGCUUCUUUGGUUAGUUCUCACUGCUGAGAGUGAGAUUAAUCCUUAUUUGAUUUUCAGGAUGACAACAGAAAAACUGGAGAGGGAGCAGAAAAGUGCAAGGCAGUGUCUGUGGAGAAAGCGUUUAGGAUGCACACAAAUCCAUAGGUAUUAUAAAUGUAGGAUGAUGGCAGAUGUAUGAAGACACCUCUUCUCUGCCACUUAUGUGCGCACACACAGCCUGAUUGCAGGUACUGAAUCUUAAAUUGUACUUGUAAGCGCUCAGGAAUGAGUAGGAUGUUUAGCUCCUGUUUCCUGUCACUUCAUUCCUCACUCAGAAAAUGACUGUGGAUGAGAAAACAAAGCAAGUUAUUGCACAGAACUGUCCUCCCUUCAGCUGCAGCCCCAUUUGCAUGUGUGCCAAGCAGCUUGAGGAAAAUGCUCUCCAAGGUUUCCUGCUGUGAGCAGUAGUCUCAGCAUCUCAACUGGCCUCUGCAUUUUGAUGACUCUGUUACAAGAAGCUUUUUCUCCUGACAGACUUUGGACGCACAUAAAGCUCAGUUUCAGUCUCAAGUUCCUGCAUCAGCCCAGAAUUAAAUUGGGAGAGGCUGCAGCUGUUACCUACGCAGAGAAGGAAUUUCACCUAACCACAAAGAAUGAGAUAGACAAAUAGCUGCGUUGUCGUAAGAACGGCUCGGGUAUGUCUCCUCGCAGCGAUUUCGCUCCAUAAUUGCAAUUCACAUUAAAUGCAGCAAAUGUUACCAUCCUGCCCACUCAGUUUCCACCUCUACUUUUGUUUCAAGCCGGGAGGGGAGAUCACCAGAAAAGAGA